rnacentral:rRNA from 1 species
UACGGAGGGUGCAAGCGUUAUCCGGAUUCACUGGGUUUAAAGGGUGCGUAGGUGGGUUGGUAAGUCAGUGGUGAAAUCUCCGUGCUUAACAUGGAAACUGCCAUUGAUACUACUGAUCUUGAAUUUUCUGGAGGUAAGCGGAAUAUGUCAUGUAGCGGUGAAAUGCUUAGAUAUGACAUAGAACACCAAUUGCGAAGGCAGCUGGCUAGACGAAUAUUGACACUGAUGCACGAAAGCGUGGGGAUCAAACAGG